UACGUAGGGUGCAAGCGUUAAUCGGAAUUACUGGGCGUAAAGCGUGCGCAGGCGGUUAUGUAAGACAGAUGUGAAAUCCCCGGGCUCAACUGGGGAAUUGCACGGGAAACUGCUUGGCUUGAGUUCGGGAGAGGGAAGCGGAAUUCCGGGUGUAGCGGUGAAAUGCGUAGAUAUCCGGAGGAACACCGGUGGCGAAGGCGGCUUCCUGGACCGACACUGACGCUGAGGCGCGAAAGCUAGGGGAGCAAACGGG
rnacentral:rRNA from 1 species